CACAACACAGCAAUACUUAAUGGUUUUUCAGAGUGGUAGCUGUGUUAGUCUGUAUCAGCAAAAAGAACAGGAGUACUUGUGGCACCUUAGAGACUAACAAAUUUAUCCGAGCAUAAGCUUUCAUGGGCUAAAGCCCACUUCAUCGGAUGCGUGCAGUGGAAAAUACAGUAGGAAGAUAUAUAUACACACACAGAGAACAUAGAUUCAAGGACUGGAAGGGACCUCGACAGGUCAGAGUCCAGUCCCCUACCCUCAUAGCAGAACCAAAUACUGUCUAGACCAUCCCUGAUAGACAUUUAUCUAACCUACUCUUAAAUAUCUCCAGAGAUGGAGAUUCCACAACCUCCCUAGGCAAUUUAUUCCAGUGUUUAACCACCCUGACAGUUAGGAACUUUUUCCUAAUGUCCAACCUAAACCUCCCUUGCUGCAGUUUAAGCCCAUUGCUUCUUGUUCUAUCCUUAGAGGCUAAGGUGAACAAGUUUUCUCCCUCCUCCUUAUGACACCCUUUUAGAUACCUGAAAACUGCUAUCAUGUCCCCUCUCAGUCUUCUCUUUCCCAAACUAAACAAACGCAAUUCUUUCAGCCUUCCUUCAUAGGUCAUGUUCUCAAGACCUUUAAUCAUUCUUGUUGCUCUUCUCUGGACCCUCUCCAAUUUCUCCACAUCUUUCUUGAAAUGCGGUGCCCAGAACUGGACACAAUACUGCAGUUGAGGCCUAACCAGUGCAGAGUAGAGCAGAAGAAUGACUUCUCGUGUCUUGCUCACAACACACCUGUUAAUGCAUCCCAGAAUCAUGUUUGCUUUUUUUGCAACAGCAUCACACUGUUGACUCAUAUUUAGCUUGUGGUCAACUAUACCCCUAGAUCCCUUUCUGCCGUACUCCUUCCUAGACAGUCUCUUCCCAUUCUGUAUGUGUGAAACUGAUUGUUCCUUCCUAAGUGGAAAAAAUGGGUGCUGGCUCCAAGGUGGGGCUAAAAAUGAGGACUUCAGGGUGCGGGAGGGGACUCUGGGCUAGGGCAGGGGAGUAAGGUGCGGGGGUUCGGGCUCCGACUGGGGGUGCGGGCUCUGGGAUGAGGCUGGGGUUGGGGUGCAGGAGGGUGCUCCGGGCUGGGAAUGAGGGGUUCAGAGGGCGGGAAGGGGAUCAGGGCUGCAGCAGGAGGUUGGGGCGGUGGGAGAGGCUCAGGGUGGAGCUUAUCUCAAACUAAUUUGUCAUGCAUUUCAAUUCAGUAACAGCUAUACAAUUUACAAUCAAUCAAUGUUAUAUUAUUCAUUAUCUGAAACCAAAGGAAGUUAUAUUUUACCAGAAAACAAUGGCUAAAUAUUUGCAGUUAUAAAUAUAGCAAAUUUUUAAUAUACAGCCCUUCAAUAUUACUGAAAGUUUCAAGCCAUUUCAAGAUUUCAUCCUUCAAGUGAUAAUUUCUGAGCCUGCAUUACUGACUUAUAGUUUUAAUAUAAAUACUUGCAGCUACUAUGUUACAUUUCCUGACUUAUACCUUCAUGUAAUUAAAAGCUGCAAUAUUGCACAAGUAUAGGAGGUAAAUAUACUGUCACAAUGCAAAUCUUAACCCUGAGUUUUCUCAUUUUGGGGAGAUUAAAACCUCAACAGUAUUUCACUAACUAUGGGCCCAGUGCUGCUCUCAGAAAAGUAAGUUACCAUAUUCCACAAAUUUACUAGGAGCAGGGAUGGGCUCAAACACUAGGGCUUGGAUCCUGCAUGCCUUACUCUCAAUGACUUCACUGGGACUGCUCACGAGAGCAAGUGCUCAAAUACUAGCCAAGGAUAUAUCCUAUAAGGAAAUGACUUAAUCCUGUGCCAGAUGUGAUUACCCUGUGUUUUAUUUCAUAUUUCUACAUUCUGCUGUGCCAAGAGAUUAUAUGCAUGUUGUGGUUGGCAGCAUUGUACCUUUCUACUUUCUCAAGGCUAGUUAAAAUUUAUCAGCCAACAGUAAUUGUAAGUAAAUUAAAUGUGCUCAUUAAAUUCAUUUUUGUUUCCACUAAAAGGAGGAGACAAACAGAAAAUUCCAUUUGCUGAACACCUCAAAUGUUAAGCUAAAAAAGCCUAUGCUUAGUGGAGGAGUGAAGGAAAAGCAUCUUGCCGGACCUAAAAUCCCGCCGAGGCUGAUGGUACAAGAGGCAGGAAGCCAUGCCACAUCCAAUAAAGAGCAGGUCUAUUUUCAGCUACACUAUUCUGAGAUGUAAUUCUUUGACUAUGGACUUAGAAGUUCUACUGGGAAUUUCUGUUAAGUUUUUAGUUAUAACUAGAAGUUCUCUUACAAUCUAAGGAGGAGCUUUGUUUCUUUAAAAAAAAAAAAACAAAGCA